UAACUCUCUGUCCAGGCACUCAGUGCCCGACCUGCAAGUGGGGACGGAAUUCUCGUCCAGGACAGUCAGGCUAAGAAAUUCAAAUGCUUUGGACAGACUCACCGACUGCCCGGCUGAGAGAAUCUGUGAGGUCUACCUGCCUAGCAAUUUGCCUUUGCACGGUCCUCCUGUGAGGAGUGAGGACACACAGAUGAAGUCUCGCUCUGUUGCCCAGGCUGGAGUGCAGUGGUACAAUCUCAGCUCACUGCAACCUCUGCCUCUUGGGUUCAAGUGAUUCUCCAGCUUCAGCCUCCCAAGUAGCUGGGACUACAGGCACAUGCCACCAUGCCCCUCUAAUUUUUGGAUUUUUAGUAGAGAUGGGGUUUCACCAUGUUGGCCAGGCUGGUCUCGAACUCCUGACCUCAAGUGAUCUACCUGCCUUGGCCUCCCAAAGUGCUGAGAUUACAGAUGUGAGCCACUGUGCCUAGUUGUUUUCUUUCUUUUUUUUUUUUUUAAAACGUGUGCAUUGUGCAUUGUUUCCCGGUUUAUCGUACUAAAAGAAGAAACUAUUUUGUGUUCUAAUAAUUUAUCACUGUGCAGGUAGUUUGGCUUUUGGUAAAAGACAACCUCUGUUUCCAGUUUGUAACUGAUGUAUCAUUCUCCUUGUUUUCCCUGCCCUUAAUUUAAUGUGGUUACGCUUCUGUUUUCUUUCCUUAAAUUCACUUGCAGCUUUUCUCCCCACUCUCUCUCUUAAUGUCACAAGUUUUGCGUGAACCAUUCCCUUUGCCUCUCCCUUGACUUCUGCUCUGCCUGCUACAAUCUUUGGGGUUUACAGCCCACUAAGCAGUCCCACUGGCUAUGCUGGAGAAAGCAAGCAUCUUUUUCAUGCCUAUAGGUGGCAUGUACAGACUGCACCCUGCAGAGGAGCUGGGAGGCAAAGCUUAUUUCUUGGAAGUUUUCAGUCACUUGCAAGGAGCAGCUAUGGACACAGUGAAGCGCAGAGGUCCAAAGAGAAAUUCUGUCAUUCAAGAAGGAAUGAAAUAAAGGCUUAUUAAGCAACUAUCUGUUUAUCUAUAUAUACCGACACUGUCAGUUGUAUACAAUGCUCUUAAGUAAUUGCAAAUCAUAAUUGUAAAACUUUUUCUUUUUUCUGUUUGGCUUCAGAUAUUUUCUUUUCCAUGGGCAGA
rnacentral:lncRNA from 1 species